UUAGCGGGAUGACCUGGGAUUUAGAUAUCGGAGGCUGUUUUAGCCAACUCAAGGUAUUGCUCAUUCAAAGAGCAGACUUUGAGAUUUGGAAGGCUUCAGAUCUUUCAUUCCAAAGACUUAAGUGUCUUGUUCUUAUAUCCUGUGAUAAGCUUGAGGUUGUGCCAUUUGGGCUGGCUGGUGUAAGUAGCCUUCAACAGAUGACUCUGGAGAACACAAACAAGGCAAUCAAAUCUGCAAAAGCAAUCGAAUGCAGAAAGAGAGAGCUGAUACAAGAAUCUAAAAAACGCAAAUUUGGAAUGGAGAUCUGUCAAGCUCCGGAUAGUUCCAAAUUCAAGCUCAUGAUAUUCCCCCCUGAAACUUCGGAUUGCAACGCCACACAGCAAGGUUGAAAAAGGAGAAAUGAUCGGGACAGUAUUGAAUUUGCUGUGAGCCUGGGGUCAAGAACAAUUAGCUGGAAUACCUGAAAUGGUGUCAACGCAUGCAUUUCAUGUUUACUGCAGUCCAAUCAUAUGAUGCAAUAAAGAAAAUUAAAACUUGUUCGUCUUUAAUUUCAAUGUAAAUGAGGUUGUAACGCAUGCAUUACUGGGUAUAUUGAUGAUGUUGUUUGAUGUGGAAAACUAAUCUCUGAACUUCGUUGGGUUUUGUUGCAUAUCGAGUUCCUGGAUUC